rnacentral:rRNA from 1 species
CUUGGUCAUUUAGAGGAAGUAAAAGUCGUAACAAGGUACUCGUAUGUGAACCUGCGUGUGGAUCAUUAAUAGUAAAUCAGUUGGGCUUUUGCCUGACUGUGUGUCUUGUGAAUCUUCUUUGUGGCAGUGUGAGGAUGGUGGUGAUAUGACCUCUUGGUGUGUUGUGUGUGUGUGUCUGCCGUAGGUGGAAUGCAGCAUUACAUUCACCAGUUGUUGAUCAUUGCGUUUCUGGCAUUGUGCAGAGAACAAGAAUAUGUUUAACAUAGUCAUAAUUAUUUACAACUGUUGGCGACGGAUCAUUUGGCUCUUGUAACGAUGAAGAACGCAGCGGGUUGCGAAACGUGAUGCGAUACGCAAAACCUGUGAGACGUCGAGUUUUUGAACGCAGCAUGCGCCAGUAGGGCAACCUAUGGGCAUGUCUGUCUGAGUGUUUUCACCACUCUUCCAGGCAAAUCGGGGUCGGCCAAGCAAUUGGUGUGUCUCUCUGCGUGGGAGUGUCUUGCCUGCUUGCAGGUGUGUUUGUGCUGCUUGGCCGCAGCAUCAAUCUCUGAGAGCUUGUUGUGAAUAUAUAUGGUUUGGGUGUGCUGGUUUGCUGGCUGCUCUUUCUGUUACAUGCAAGCCCUUGGCA